GGUCAAGUUAUUAAGGGUGCAGGGCGGAUGCCUUGGCACUAGGAGCCGAUGAAGGACGUGAUAAGCUGCGAUAAGCUUCGGGGAGUUGCACGUAAACUUUGAUCCGAAGAUUUCCGAAUGAGGAAACUCACUUAGAGUAAUGUCUAAGUAUCAUUAAGUGAAUACAUAGCUUAAUGAGGGGAACUCAGGGAACUGAAACAUCUAAGUACCUGAAGGAAGAGAAAGAAAUUCGAUUCCGUAAGUAGCGGCGAGCGAACGCGGAUUAGCCCAAACCAAUAAAGUUUUCUUUAUUGGGGUUGCGGACAUAUCAUAACGAAGAGGUAUCGUAAUUGAAGAGGUUUGGAAAGACCCACCACAGAAGGUAAUAGUCCUGUAUGUUAAACGAGAAGACUUUAGAUAUGAUCCAGAGUACCACGGGACACGUGAAACCCUGUGGGAAGCAGGAGGGACCACCCUCCAAGGCUAAAUACUACCUAGUGACCGAUAGCGUAUAGUACCGUGAGGGAAAGGUGAAAAGAACCCCGGGAGGGGAGUGAAAUAGAACCUGAAACCCUGCACUUACAAGCUGUGGAAGCACAUUUCUUGUGUGACCGCGUACUUUUUGUAGAACGGGCCAACGAGUUACGUUAAGUAGCAAGGUUAAGCACUUAAGGUGCGGAGCCGUAGCGAAAGCGAGUUUUAACUGAGCGUUCAGUUACUUGACGUAGACCCGAAACCGGGCGACCUACCCAUGAGCAGGAUGAAGCGAAAGUAAAAUUUCGUGGAGGUCCGAACCCACGAGCGUUGAAAAGCUCGGGGAUGACUUGUGGGUAGCGGUGAAAUUCCAAUCGAGCCCGGAGAUAGCUGGUUCUCCCCGAAAUAGCUUUAGGGCUAGCCUCAAGGUGAGAGAUACGGAGGUAGAGCACUGAAUGUCCUAGGGGGUAUUGCACCUACCGAAGACUAUCAAACUCCGAAUGCCGUCAUCUUAUACUUGGGAGUCAGACUGUGGGUGAUAAGAUUCAUAGUCGAAAGGGCAACAGCCCAGAUCGUCAGCUAAGGUCCCUAAAUGUAAGUUAAGUGGUAAAGGAUGUGGGAUUGCACAGACAACCAGGAUGUUGGCUUAGAAGCAGCCACUCAUUCAAAGAGUGCGUAAUAGCUCACUGGUCGAGUGAUCCUGCGCCGAAGAUUUCCGGGGCUAAAACUUACUACCGAAGCUACGGCAUCAGUAAUGAUGGGUAGGGGAGCUUCCCAUACGGGUUGAAGCAUGACCGUAAGGACAUGUGGACAGUAUGGGAGUGAGAAUGUUGGCAUGAGUAGCGAGAUGUGGGUGAGAAUCCCACAGGCCGUAAACCCAAGGUUUCCAGGGGAAGGUUCGUCCGCCCUGGGUUAGUCGGGACCUAAGCUGAGGCCGAAAGGCGUAGGUGAUGGACAACAGGUUGAUAUUCCUGUACUACCGAUAACCGUUUGAGAGAAGGGAUGACACAGUAGGAUAAGCUAAGCACACUGUUGGUUAUGUGUGCCCAAGCAUUGAGGCAGUCAAAGUAGGCAAAUCCGCUUUGAUAAUGCUGGGAUGUGAUGGGGAGCGAAAUUUAGUAGCGAAGUAGCUGAUUUCACACUGUCAAGAAAAGUCUCUAUCGAGGUUAAAGGUACCCGUACCGCAAACCGACACAGGUGGGUGAGGAGAGUAUCCUAAGGCCAGCGAGAGAACUGUUGUUAAGGAACUCGGCAAAAUGACCCCGUAACUUAGGGAUAAGGGGUGCCACCAUCAGGUGGCCGCAGAGAAUAGGCCCAAGCGACUGUUUACCAAAAACAUAGGUUUCUGCUAAGUCGCAAGACGAUGUAUAGGAGCUGACGCCUGCCCGGUGCUGGAAGGUUAAGGGGAUCUGUUAGAGCAAUCGAAGCAGUGAACUUAAGCCCCAGUAAACGGCGGCCGUAACUAUAACGGUCCUAAGGUAGCGAAAUUCCUUGUCGGGUAAGUUCCGACCCGCACGAAAGGCGUAACGAUUUGGGCACUGUCUCAACAACAGACUCGGUGAAAUUGUAAUUCCGGUGAAGAUGCCGGAUACCUGCGACAGGACGGAAAGACCCCAUGGAGCUUUACUGUAGCUUGACAUUGGGUCUUGGUACUACAUGUACAGGAUAGGUGGGAGGCUUUGAAACCAGGACGCCAGUUUUGGCGGAGCCAUCCUUGGGAUACCACCCUUGUAGUACUGGGACUCUAACCAUAGGCCAUGAAUCUGGUCUUGGGACACUGUCAGGUGGGCAGUUUGACUGGGGCGGUCGCCUCCCAAAAGGUAACGGAGGCGCUCAAAGGUUCUCUCAGUACGGUCGGAAAUCGUACGUAGAGUGUAAAGGCAAAAGAGAGCUUGAUUGCAAGACAUACAGGUCGAGCAAGGAUGAAAAUCGGACUUAGUGAUCCGGUGGUUCUGCGUGGAAGGGCCAUCGCUCAACGGAUAAAAGCUACCCUGGGGAUAACAGGCUUAUCUCCCCCAAGAGUCCACAUCGACGGGGAGGUUUGGCACCUCGAUGUCGGCUCAUCACAUCCUGGGGCUGUAGUAGGUCCCAAGGGUUGGGCUGUUCGCCCAUUAAAGUGGUACGCGAGCUGGGUUCAGAACGUCGUGAGACAGUUCGGUCCCUAUCCGUCGCAGGCGUAGGAAAUUUGAGAAGACCUGUCCUUAGUACGAGAGGACCGGGAUGGACGUACCUCUGGUGUACCAGUUGUCCUGCCAAGGGCAUGGCUGGGUAGCUAUGUACGGAAUGGAUAAGCGCUGAAAGCAUCUAAGCGCGAAGCCAACUUCAAGAUAAGAUUUCCCACCGCAAGGGUAAGACCCCAGAAAGACUAUCUGGUUGAUAGGUCGAAGGUGUAAGUGCAGCAAUGUAUUUAGCUUAUCGAUACUAAUAGGUCGAGGACUUGACCAA
rnacentral:rRNA from 4 species